rnacentral:rRNA from 1 species
CCUACGGGGGGCUGCAGUGGGGAAUAUUGGACAAUGGGGGGAACCCUGAUCCAGCCAUGCCGCGUGUGUGAAGAAGGCCCUCGGGUUGUAAAGCACUUUCAGUGAGGAAGGACGCCUGGUGGUUAAUACCCAUCAGGAAAGACAUCACUCACAGAAGAAGCACCGGCUAACUCCGUGCCAGCAGCCGCGGUAAUACGGAGGGUGCGAGCGUUAAUCGGAAUUACUGGGCGUAAAGCGCGCGUAGGUGGCUUGAUAAGCCGGUUGUGAAAGCCCCGGGCUCAACCUGGGAACGGCAUCCGGAACUGUCAAGCUAGAGUGCAGGAGAGGAAGGUAGAAUUCCCGGUGUAGCGGUGAAAUGCGUAGAGAUCGGGAGGAAUACCAGUGGCGAAGGCGGCCUUCUGGACUGACACUGACACUGAGGUGCGAAAGCGUGGGUAGCAAACAGGAUUAGAUACCCCGGUAGUC